AGCCCUUGAAGGCUAAAAAAUGAGUAUAAAUGAAUAAGGGGUAUUAUAGUAAUUGAACAAAGAGUUGAUAAAUAUAAAUAGAAAAGAAAAUAGAAGAGGAGAGCUGUGUUUUAAGUGUGAAAAACUGACGGGAGAAGAGAAGAAAAAGGGAAGAAGAAGAAGAGAAAAGAGGGAAAGAUAAGGAAAUGAGAAGAUAAUUGGAGGAAAUAAGUUUAAAGGUUCUCCUAACGAUCCUCAAUAGAUUUUUCGGGUCUUUCAUCUGACAUUCCUUUUAGUUCUAUAUUUUCCGGGUUCUUAGUUUCUGAUAGCAGGUGAACCUUGUUGAGUGUUCCUGCUUCUUCAGUUUUGGGUCGGUAUGCCUUGCUUAUCUUUCAAGGCUGUUUGAUUCGAUGUCUUAGGCGCUCCACUAUUACCUUGUUUUAAUUAAGUUUGGAUUUUUUGACAAUGUAAUGAGUGUUAUGGAUUAUUGUUUUUGUUUUAAUUACUGAUGAGGAGUUUUAAACUAUCUUUUGGUUUCAUCAGUUUUGAAAAAUAUAAUAUUUCUGAAGAUUAUGAAAUGCUGCGUAUUUUUGAAUAAAUUAUUCUUUUGAUAUGUCUGUUUUGAGGCUUAGCGCGGGAGGGGUGUCCUUCCGCCACCGCUCCUGCGUUGCCGGUCACGGACCCGGGAUUCGGGUCGUGACAAAGGUGGUAUCAGAGCUCGGUUUUAUUAAAAUCUCAUAAAAAAAAAAUUUGUUGUUAAAACCCUGUACCCUGGUUUUGCUAAAACCUUGUAAUCUGGUUUGUUAAAACCCCCGUAAUAUGUGGAGCUUAGGAUCCUUCUCGUCUAGUUGUGAUUCCUCUUUGUCUUUUUGUUUUGAACUUUUUUUUAUUGUUGUGUUGAUAUACAUGUGAGGAAAUAUACAUGUAUGUAAAUAUUUGAUAUAAAUAUAUCAUUGAAUAUACUAUAUAUAAUAUAUGUGUUUUUCAUACAUGUGAUAAUAUUUGAUAUAAGUAUAUUCUUGGAUAUAAUAUAUGUGGUAUAUGUGUUUUGCAUACGUGUGAGAAAAUACUUGUGUGUGUGAAAAUAUUUGAUAUAAAUAUAUAUUUGAAAGUAUUUGUAUAAUAUAUGUAUUUGAGUAAUAAUAUUUCUUGGAAAUACUUAAGCAUAAGUAUUUGGUAUACGUAUAUUUUUGGAAGUAUUUGUAUAAUAUACGCAUAUGAGUAUGAAAUAUAUCUUGUAAGUAUUUAUGAAAUAUGUGUAUCUGGAUAUGUUUGUGUGAUAUGGAGUGAGUAAUUAUUAUAAGUAUUAUUUAAAAGUACUUUGAAUUAUUAGAAGAAUAAUAUUAUAUCUAAAAUAAAAAUGAUUCAUUUAUAUAUCUGAUUUGUCAUUUUAUGACUUUGAAAUAUGAAUCUGAUAUGAAAUUUUCAGUGAUUUUGAUAUAUAAAUCUGAUAUGAAUUUUUCGAGUUAAACAAGUUAGAAUACCAACACUAACUUGUGUGAAAGGUUACAAAUAAAUCUAAAUACUCUAUCUAUGUCUGAUUUUCUGACUUGUAGCGCUUUAAAAGUAUGUAUAUGAACAAAUAAUGUUAAUGAGUGUAUAUUGGAUGUAAGUAUGUGCUUUGAGUAUUUGAACAACUUAUAGUAUUUUGUAUUCUGAAAAAAAAAAAAAUGUCUAAUAGUCUUUUUCUAUGAUAUAUAUAUGGCUGGAAAUAUUCUAUGAAAUAUAUAUGUUUGAUAAUAUUUUUCCAAGUGUAUUUAUUUUGAUUACUCUUUGAGUCGUAGAAGCUCAUCUCUUUUCACAAUAUUUAUUUUGAAUGUAAGAGAAAGUUGAAAUAUGAUUAAUCAGUUAUGGAUGAUGAGACAGUUAUUGGAGAAUUUCUUAUUAAGGUUGUUAUUAUAGUCUUUUGAUUAUGAUCUAUAUGGUGAUUAAUAUGGUUAUCUUGAAUUGGGUAUAUUGAUGGUAUGAAUAUUAUAUGUACAAUCUAGUACAGACUUGAAAUAUUGGAUUACGAUAUUUGAUUAAUAAAAUUUAUUUUUGAAGUUUUCCUUUCGGGUUAUGUAUGAUAUGUAUGUAAGGGGUUUACAUGGUUAUCAUGGUCUAUGGUGAUCCUCUCGAUUAUAUGUCAAUUGUGUCGGUACGGCUUUGGGGUAUGACACCCAUCUUCACUCGUCUCAACCUUAAGAUUGGAAAAAAAAAAAAUUCUUCUUCAAAGCUUAUGUUUCUUUUCUUUCUGUUAUUUUGUUACUUCUGGUAGAUAUUCUUUAUCUUUUACUCUCUUUUUUCGCAUCAUUGAGGUUGUAGUGUUGAAUCUUCAUCUAGUGUUCUGCCUUCUUCCAUAUCAAAUUCAUUUGAAUAGUUCUUCUGCAUAUCUGUAUUGCAUUUAACUUCUGAACCAUAAGUAUGAUUUCAGCUAUAUCAAUUAUUUUCUUACUCCGAUUCUUUUCUGCCACCAAAUCAGUUAUCUCUACCUCUAGAUGAUUUUCCUUGACGUCAGUUCCUUCUGAUGCAAUGAAGUCUUUGUGGCCAUGAACUUUUAAAAUAGAUUCAAAAGCCUCUUUGCUUGUUUCAUAUUCUGGAUUCUGGAAUCUGUAAUUUUAAGGCAUUAUAUGAGCUUUUGCUUUCUUUUACUUGGACUUUAUUUAUACUAUCCUUUUGUAUGCUUGUAUUGAGUUCAACCUCAAAUCCUGAGUUUUCAAGCUCAUUGGUUUCAUCCUUAUGAAAACAUGUAUCUCCUGUUAUCUUUGGUGGAGAUCGAUUUUAUGGAUCGGCUGGUAUUUUCACUUACACACAAUCUUUAAUAUUCUUAAUAAUCAUUUCAGACUCGCAAUCCAAAGAAAUGUCAUUGUCAAUGUCUAAUUUUGCUCUUCUAAAUUCUUUUCUGUGACAAUUUGACUUGAAGUACUCUCAUCUUAUUUUAGUGCUUCAAACUUUGAGAAUUAGUCAUGGAUACAAAUUUUGAAUCAUCCUCGAUUUGUUCUUUGGUUUCAUCAGGAGUUCCACAUUCUUCUUAUAGUACCUCAUUUGGACUUUGAUUUUGUAUAUCUUUAUUAUUAAAGCUUCAAUUGAGAGAUGUCAUAUUCCCUACGAUCAUCUUCUUGCAAGGAUAUGUCUUUUGUUUUUCUCAAAUAAUCUUCAGAUACUCCACAUUCUUAUUUUCUACAUUUCUAUUAGUUGUUGUUGAAAUUCCUUGCUCUUUUUUUUUUAUAUGACUUCUGGAGAAUUCUAGUCAAUACCAACUUCAUUUACUGCUACUUCAGCACCUAGAAAUUCAACUAUUUCUGAGGAUUUCUCAUUUUUCUCUUUUAAUCUUGCUUAUGAUUAGCUCUUCAAUACCAUGAUUUUUGGAUUCAUAAAUUACAUCUGAAGCCUUUUUAUUUUUAUGGCAUCAUCUGCAUCUAUGUUUUCUUUAGCCACUUGCUCCCUCGUUAUGUUUUCACAAUCAUUAAUUGAAAUUUGAGAUGUCAAGUUUAAGUAGGGUAUCUUAAGUCCCAUGUUAUCUUUGAAUAUUUUUUUUGUUGUUCUUCUUUGUUUUUGAACAUGUUUUCGCUUCAAUUUCAAGAGAAGCAUUAUCAUUUGAGGUAAUAUGAGAAACCCUAUAACAACUUUUCAUCCAGCUAAGCUUCUUCCAAGUUGAUUUUUGAAGAGAUAUGAUUUGGGAUAAGUUGUUUGAGAAAAUUUGAUUCAAGAGAAAUUGAAGGGUAUGUUGUUUGAUUUUGAGGGAUAUGAAUUAAGAAAAGUUAUGCAUGAGAUAUUUUUUAUUCAGUGGAUAUAUCAGAGUGCGCAACGAAAGCAUGGUGCUAUUUAUUGAUUUUUGAAGUGGACUCUAAAUGAUAGUUUAAGAAACACAAUUUUAGAGAUAAGUUUUAAAUAAUUUAUUUGAUCAUGAUGGUAACACUUUGGUUCUUAAAUUUUAAGUUUCGAGGACGAAACUUUUAUAAGGUGGGGAGAUUGUGAUGUUUUGAAAUAAGAUGAGUAGGUAAAAGGCAAUAAAGCCCUUGAAGGCUAAAAAAUGAGUAUAAAUGAAUAAGGGGUAUUAUAGUAAUUGAACAAAGAGUUGAUAAAUAUAAAUAGAAAAGAAAAUAGAAGAGGAGAGCUGUGUUUUAAGUGUGAAAAACUGACGGGAGAAGAGAAGAAAAAGGGAAGAAGAAGAAGAGAAAAGAGGGAAAGAUAAGGAAAUGAGAAGAUAAUUGGAGGAAAUAAGUUUAAAGGUUCUCCUAACGAUCCUCAAUAGAUUUUUCGGGUCUUUCAUCUGACAUUCCUUUUAGUUCUAUAUUUUCCGGGUUCUUAGUUUCUGAUAGCAGGUGAACCUUGUUGAGUGUUCCUGCUUCUUCAGUUUUGGGUCGGUAUGCCUUGCUUAUCUUUCAAGGCUGUUUGAUUCGAUGUCUUAGGCGCUCCACUAUUACCUUGUUUUAAUUAAGUUUGGAUUUUUUGACAAUGUAAUGAGUGUUAUGGAUUAUUGUUUUUGUUUUAAUUACUGAUGAGGAGUUUUAAACUAUUUUUUUGGUUUCAUCAGUUUUGAAAAAUAUAAUAUUUCUGAAGAUUAUGAAAUGCUGCGUAUUUUUGAAUAAA